rnacentral:rRNA from 1 species
CUGGCUCAGAUUGAACGCUGGCGGCAUGCUUUACACAUGCAAGUCGAACGGCAGCGCGGGGCAACCUGGCGGCGAGUGGCGAACGGGUGAGUAAUAUAUCGGAACGUACCCAAGAGUGGGGGAUAACGUAGCGAAAGUUACGCUAAUACCGCAUACGAUCUAAGGAUGAAAGUGGGGGAUCGCAAGACCUCAUGCUCCUGGAGCGGCCGAUAUCUGAUUAGCUAGUUGGUGAGGUAAAGGCUCACCAAGGCGACGAUCAGUAGCUGGUCUGAGAGGACGACCAGCCACACUGGAACUGAGACACGGUCCAGACUCCUACGGGAGGCAGCAGUGGGGAAUUUUGGACAAUGGGCGCAAGCCUGAUCCAGCAAUGCCGCGUGAGUGAAGAAGGCCUUCGGGUUGUAAAGCUCUUUUGUCAGGGAAGAAACGGUGAGAGCUAAUAUCUCUUGCUAAUGACGGUACCUGAAGAAUAAGCACCGGCUAACUACGUGCCAGCAGCCGCGGUAAU